ACCAGACUCCUACGGGAGGCAGCAGUGGGGAAUAUUGCACAAUGGGGGAAACCCUGAUGCAGCGACGCCGCGUGAGUGAAGAAGUAUUUCGGUAUGUAAAGCUCUAUCAGCAGGGAAGAAAAUGACGGUACCUGACUAGGAAGCCCCGGCUAACUACGUGCCAGCAGCCGCGGUAAUACGUAGGGGGCAAGCGUUAUCCGGAUUUACUGGGUGUAAAGGGAGCGUAGACGGUGAUGCAAGUCAGAAGUGAAAGCCCGGGGCUCAACUCCGGGACUGCUUUUGAAACUGUGUGACUGGAGUGCAGGAGAGGUAAGCGGAAUUCCUGGUGUAGCGGUGAAAUGCGUAGAUAUCAGGAGGAACACCAGUGGCGAAGGCGGCUUACUGGACUGUAAAUGACGCUGAGGCUCGAAAGCGUGGGGAGCAAACAGGAUUAGAUACCCGGGUACA
rnacentral:rRNA from 1 species